AUGGAGAUGGAAGAGGGGCUCGAUCUGAGCCUGUCGCUGCGCCAGUACACGCCGCCGUGGUCGCAGCUGGUGUUCGCCUGCUCCUACUGCUCACGCAGCUUCAAGAACUCGCAGGCGCUCGGCGGCCACCAGAACGCUCACAAGCUGGCCAGGCGGGCCACGGCGCUCUCUUCAGCGGCGGCGGGAGAGCUCGCCAUCGAGAACCACCACAGCGCUCCGCCGCGCCCCGGCGCCCGCGCUUGGCGAGCAGGAUAUCGUCAGCAGGCGCGGCGCACGGGUACUGGUUCGGGGGCAACCUCGUCCGGGGCAAGAAGAGGCGACCAAGAGCUUGCGGAGGAGGCGAUUGACCUGUCCCUCAAGCUAUGA
rnacentral:rRNA from 1 species